rnacentral:rRNA from 1 species
UACGAAGGGGGCUAGCGUUGCUCGGAAUCACUGGGCGUAAAGCGCACGUAGGCGGAUUGCUAAGUCAGGGGUGAAAUCCUGAGCUCAACUCCAGAACUGCCUUUGAUACUGGCGAUCUUGAGUCCGGGAGAGGUGAGUGGAACUGCGAGUGUAGAGGUGAAAUUCGUAGAUAUUCGGAAGAACACCAGUGGCGAAGGCGGCUCACUGGUCCGGUACUGACGCUGAGACGCGAAAGCGUGGGGAGCGAACAGG